GAAGGAACUCCCAUGGGCAAACAAGGCCUGGGGACCCUCUCACUUUGUAGCUACGCCCAGGUCCUGCACGGUGUCAUGACCCCAGAAUUAGUGUUUGACAGCUUCUCAGGAACAGCUGCUAUAUCCUACCUGCAGCUUGACGCCUGUUCAGAUGGAAGCAACUCUCUGCAGGCUGCGUCAGGACCUCUUUUCCCAGCUUUACUCCUCCGUCUGGGUUCUUGCACUCACAGGGGAUGGGAGAGGGGUGAGAAAUAGAGCGUUUUUUGAGAACAUAUUCCAACCUCUCGGAUGCACACGUUUUGGAGUCCUGUCCUCAUGUCAAUUGACAGAGAAGAUCCCCCGGCUCCAUUGGCCAGGGCGAAGGUGUGCCUAAGCCCCAGGUCGAAACUCUGUCUCCCUGAGCCCUGACAACAGCAGCUCAGCCCGGUCCAUUAACGUGGCUUUAGGACAAGGUUCCCGCUCAGCUCGAGGAGUCAGACUGGCCCUGAGCUAACAUCCGUGUCCAUCUUCCUCUACUUUAUACGUGGGAUGCCUACCACAGCACGGAAUUUGCCAAGCGGUGCCAUGUCUGCACCCAGGAUCCAAACCAGUGAAACCACCGCCUAGAAGCAGAAUGUGCUCACCUAACUGCUGAGCCACCAGGUCACCCCGGCUGGAACUUCUGAUGAGAUUAACAAGGAGGCGACAGCUCUGCCUGCCAAUGGCUGGUCGCUGCAUUCCUCUCUCUUUCUGUUGAAUGCUUUCAUUUCUCUCUUGGAUCCUCUUUCCUCUCUCUGCAGCUGGAGUGAUAAGAGAGACUUGGGGUGCCCAUUUGCUCGGGAGGACACCCGGCCUGGUGGAGACCGAAGGGUGGGAAGCUAAGCCAGCUCUGCUUGGCUCCUCUAGAGAAAAGCCUUCCUUGGGUUUGUCCUCCUGCCUCCCUGGUCACAGACUGGGUGAGACGGAAGGCCGGGGUCAGGGGCAGGCCUCGUGGGAAGGAACGCGGCCUGCUCUGGUUCUAGGCCUCGUGCCAUGAGUACAAACGGAGGCCUUGACCACACAUGGUUGAGCCCAGCUAAGGGGCUAACGGGUCUGAGGUCUUGCAGUCAGAAACCUGACGUUUGCAGGGAAGGUCCCUCCCCUCGCUCCCUCAUGAUUCUCUGAUGUAGCUCUCGCAUGGAGCUAAAUCCAAGAUUUCCAGAACUUUGUGACUUUUCUUAAUUCAAUGAAAUCCAGUGAGGACUUGAUGAGCCUAACAUGGGCAAGGCACUGUUCAAUCAGAAACAAAUUUUCAUUACAGCUUAUAAAGAAGCAAAUUUAUUUUGACUUGUUUAUACCAAUUAUUCAUUCAUUAACAUUGCAUACGUUCUGCUUUUCUGCUUAAAAUUAGUCUCAGUCCUUUAAAAAGCAAAAGCUUUAUUUUAGAAGUUGACUGAGACAAGCAGAGGCAGGCACCAUGCAUCGAAACCAGCCAGCUACAUCGAAGGGGAGGCAAAAGGCAUUGACUAGAACUGCUGGACACAGUUGGUUCCAUCUCUGGCCUUCCUGGCCCCCUCGCAAGGCCCUGCCCCCUGUUUCCUGUGAGUCAAGGUAAUGGCUGGUGGUGUGCGCACAGCAUGCUGCCCCUGGAGGUGACGGAUCCUGUUACGCUUUCUUACUCCUCUGCAGUCUGGUCUCCAGGGACCCGUCUUCUAUUUACACUGUACACUUUGAAACACUUGUUCUAUUGCCAAGAGUUAAAAUAGUCGCUACACUCUCAACCUUUCCCUCACUCCCCCCUCUACUUCCUGGCUUGAACUGAAGCAUGGAUUUCCCCGGAGGACUCUGUCCUUCACAGCCCCCUCAAGUGGAGACAGCAUCCUUGCACACGUGCCCUGUCUGACGGCCGGAGGUGGUUUCUUC
ensembl:lncRNA